CCUCCUUGGUCAUUUAGAGGAAGUAAAAGUCGUAACAAGGUUUCCGUAGGUGAACCUGCGGAAGGAUCAUUAUCGUAUAAAGGAGGUGCUCAGGUUCUCGCUGACUUUGGAAAGGUUGGUGCACGUUCGCUUCUUCUUGGUAUAAUCCAGGACACCCCAGUGUGAACAAGGUCUCGUGACGCCUCUUGCCCAUAUCUCCCAGAGCCCUGGUAAUCGCGCGCACUCUCCAACCCUCAGUUCUUCGCUGACUUGCAUUCCCGGCCCUCGCAAUUCCGCUUUCUUGAACAUGAGAUCUCUCCGGACUACCCCUAACUCUGUUUGCUAGUCUAGUCUGAAUGUUAUAUGAAAGUUAAAACUCAGUCCAUCAGAUCUCUUGGUUCUGGCAUCCCGCCGAACUUGUUGAAAAGACAUAAGUCAUUGAAGUGCAGAAUUCAGAGAAUCAUCGACUCUUUGAACGCCCAUUGCGCCGUGGGGUUCAUCUGGGAAAAGGUGGGCGUCUUUUGGUGGUGGGGGGAGGAUCACUACAAGAAUGGGGGGCCUCUCUCCCUGGGGGGGGGGAAAAAACCAAACAAAAAGGCGGGGCUUCUUGGUCGUGGGGGGGAAGUAAGCAUACCAAAAAGCGGGGGUUCUGGUCUUUGGGAGGAAGUAAGCAUAUCAAAAGCGGAGCUCUUCUGG
rnacentral:misc_RNA from 1 species